UCGGAAUUACUGGGCGUAAAGAGUACGUAGGCGGCUUUACAAGUCGGGUGUGAAAGCCCUGAGCUUAACUCAGGAACUGCAUUCGAUACUGUAUCGCUAGAGUUUAUUAGAGGAUAGCGGAAUUCCAGGUGUAGCGGUGAAAUGCGUAGAUAUCUGGAGGAACACCAAUGGCGAAGGCAGCUAUCUGGGAUACAACUGACGCUGAGGUACGAAAGCGUGGGGAGCAAACAGGAUUAGAUACCCUGGUAGUCCACGCCGUAAACGAUGAGAACUAGACGUUGGGUAUUUAUACCUGGUGUCGCAGCUAACGCAUUAAGUUCUCCGCCUGGGGAGUACGGCCGCAAGGUUGAAACUCAAAGUAAUUGACGGGGGCCCGCACAAGCGGUGGAGCAUGUGGUUUAAUUCGAUGCAACGCGAAGAACCUUACCUACACUUGACAUCAUCAGAACUUGUUAGAGAUAACUCGGUGCCUUCGGGAACUGAUAGACAGGUGCUGCAUGGCU
rnacentral:rRNA from 1 species